rnacentral:rRNA from 1 species
AUUGAACGCUGGCGGCAGGCCUAACACAUGCAAGUCGAACGGUAACAGGAAGCAGCUUGCUGCUUUGCUGACGAGUGUCGGACGGGUGAGUAAUGUCUGGGAAACUGCCCGAUGGAGGGGGAUAACUACUGGAAACGGUAGCUAAUACCGCAUAACGUCGCAAGACCAAAGAGGGGGACCUUAGGGCCCCUUGCCAUCGGAUGUGCCCAGAUGGGAUUAGCUAGUAGGUGGGGUAACGGCUCACCUAGGCGACGAUCCCUAGCUGGUCUGAGAGGAUGACCAGCCACACUGGAACUGAGACACGGUCCAGACUCCUACGGGAGGCAGCAGUGGGGAAUAUUGCACAAUGGGCGCAAGCCUGAUGCAGCCAUGCCGCGUGUAUGAAGAAGGCCUUCGGGUUGUAAAGUACUUUCAGCGGGGAGGAAGGGAGUAAAGUUAAUACCUUGGCUCAUUGACGUUACCCGCAGAAGAAGCACCGGCUAACUCCGUG